UCGAGGGCCGAUCUCAGACCCUCCGCCUGGGUACUACGAGCAUUAGCUUAAACCCAAAGGACUUGGCGGUGCUUUACCCCCCACUAGGGAGCCUGUUCUAGAACUGAUAACCCCCGUUGAACCUCACCAUCCCUCGUUUAACCCGCCUAUAUACCGCCGUCGUCAGCUUACCCUGUGAAGGCCAAAUAGUAAGCAAAAAUGGCUAAGCCAAAAACGUCAGGUCGAGGUGUAGUGAAUGGGAUGGGAAGAAAUGGGCUCAUUCUCUGUUACAGAGAAUACGAAUGGCAGCCUGAAAACCCUGCCUGAAGGUGGAUUUAGCA
rnacentral:rRNA from 1 species